GACGAACGCUGGCGGCGUGCUUAACACAUGCAAGUCGAACGGAAAGGCCCUGCUUUUGUGGGGUGCUCGAGUGGCGAACGGGUGAGUAACACGUGAGUAACCUGCCCUUGACUUUGGGAUAACUUCAGGAAACUGGGGCUAAAACCGGAUAGGAGCUCCUGAAGCAUGGUGGGGGUUGGAAAGUUUCGGCGGUUGGGGAUGGACUCGCGGCUUAUCAGCUUGUUGGUGGGGUAGUGGAUUACCAAGGCUUUGACGGGUAGCCGGCCUGAGAGGGUGACCGGCCACAUUGGUACUGAGAUACGGCCCAGACUCCUACGGUAGGCAGCAGUGGGGAAUAUUGCACAAUGGGCGGAAGCCUGAUGCAGCGACGCCGCGUGCGGGAUGACGGCCUUCGGGUUGUAAACCGCUGUCGCCUGUGACGAAGCGUGAGUGACGGUAAUGGGUAAAGAAGCACCGGCUAACUACGUG
rnacentral:rRNA from 1 species